UACGUAGGGGGCAAGCGUUGUCCGGAAUCAUUGGGCGUAAAGGGCGCGUAGGUGGCCCGGUCAGCGUGCGGUGAAAGCUCGGGGCUCAACCCCGAGUCGGCCGUGCGAACUGCUGGGCUCGAGCACUGUAGAGGCAGGCGGAAUUCCGGGUGUAGCGGUGGAAUGCGUAGAGAUCCGGAAGAACACCGGUGGCGAAGGCGGCCUGCUGGGCAGUGGCUGACACUGAGGCGCGACAGCGUGGGGAGCAAACAGG
rnacentral:rRNA from 1 species